rnacentral:misc_RNA from 1 species
GAUGAAGAACGCAGCGAAAUGCGAUAAGUAAUGCGAAUUGCAGAAUUCAGUGAAUCAUCGAAUCUUUGAGCGCACAUUGCGCCCGCUAGUAUUCUGGCGGGCAUGCCUGUCUGAGCGUCAUUUCAACCCUCGCCCCCGGCUUUUGCUGGGAGCGGUGUUGGGGAUCGGCCGCCCGUCACUGGGAGGCCGGCCCCGAAAUAGAGUGGCGACCACGCCGUGUGCUCCUCUGCGUAGUAGUAAAUCACCUCGCAGGCGGACAGCGGUGCGGCCUGCCGUAAAACCCCCAACUCUUUCUGGUUGACCUCAGAUCAGGUAGGAAUACCCGCUGAACUUAAGCAUAUCAAUAAGCGGAGGA